rnacentral:rRNA from 1 species
AUUGAACGCUGGCGGCAGGCCUAACACAUGCAAGUCGAACGAGAGGCGGACGGGUGAGUAAUUGCUGGGAAACUGCCUGAUGGAGGGGGCUAAAUACUGGAAACGGUAGCUAAUACCGCAUACCAUCAGAUGUGCCCAGAGGGGAUUAGCUAGGUGGUGGGGUAACGGCUCACCAAGGCGACGACCCCUAGCUGGUCUGAGAGGAUGACCAGCCACCCUGGAACUGAGACACGGUCCAGACUCCUACGGGAGGCAGCAGUGGGGAAUAUUGCACAAUGGGCGCAAGCCUGAUGCAGUCAUGCCGCGUGUAUGAAGAAGGCCUUCGGGUUGUAAAGUACUUUCAGCGGGGAGGCGUUACCCGCAGAAGAAGCACCGGCUAACUCCGUGCCAGCAGCCGCGGUAAUAC